CGCGAACGCAGUGCCGGGAGCGGGUGGGAUUCGGGGGGUGCGGGUGGUGGCCGGAGUCACUGGGCGUCAAGGGCGCGGAGGCGGUUCGGUAAGUUGCUGGUGGACGCCCGGGGCUCGACUCCGGGGCUGCCGGCACGACUGCCGGACUCGAGCACGGUAGGGGCAGAUGGAAUUCCCGGUGUAGCGGUGGAAUGCGUAGAGAUCGGGAAGAAUACCAGUGGCGAAGGCGUUCUGCUGGGCCGUUGCUGACGCUGAGGCGCGACAGCGUGGGGAGCAAACAGGAUUAGAUACCCGUGUAGUC
rnacentral:rRNA from 1 species